rnacentral:rRNA from 1 species
GAGCGCCGUAGCAAUACGGAGCGGCAGACGGGAGAGUAACACGUGGGAACGCGCCCUUCGGUUCGGAAUAACUCAGGGAAACUUGGGCUAAUACCGGAUACGCCCUUACGGGGAAAGAUUUAUUGCCGAAGGAACGGCCCGCGUCCGAUUAGCUUGUUGGUGAGGUAACGGCUCACCAAGGCGACGAUCGGUAGCUGGUCUGAGAGGAUGACCAGCCUCACUGGGACUGAGACACGGCCCAGACUCCUACGGGAGGCAGCAGUGGGGAAUAUUGGACAAUGGGCGCAAGCCUGAUCCAGCCAUGCCGCGUGAGUGAUGAAGGCCCUAGGGUUGUAAAGCUCUUUCAGCGGGGAAGAUAAUGACGGUACCCGCAGAAGAAGCCCCGGCUAACUUCGUG